AUUGAACGCUGGCGGCAUGCCUUACACAUGCAAGUCGAACGGCAGCACGGGUGCUUGCACCUGGUGGCGAGUGGCGAACGGGUGAGUAAUACAUCGGAACAUGUCCUGUAGUGGGGGAUAGCCCGGCGAAAGCCGGAUUAAUACCGCAUACGAUCUACGGAUGAAAGCGGGGGACCUUCGGGCCUCGCGCUAUAGGGUUGGCCGAUGGCUGAUUAGCUAGUUGGUGGGGUAAAGGCCUACCAAGGCGACGAUCAGUAGCUGGUCUGAGAGGACGACCAGCCACACUGGGACUGAGACACGGCCCAGACUCCUACGGGAGGCAGCAGUGGGGAAUUUUGGACAAUGGGCGAAAGCCUGAUCCAGCAAUGCCGCGUGUGUGAAGAAGGCCUUCGGGUUGUAAAGCACUUUUGUCCGGAAAGAAAUCCUUGGCCCUAAUACGGUCGGAGGAUGACGGUACCGGAAGAAUAAGCACCGGCUAACUACGUG
rnacentral:rRNA from 1 species